CUACGGGGUGCUGCAGUGAGGAAUAUUGCACAAUGGGGGGAGCCCUGAUGCAGCAACGCCGCGUGGAGGAUGACGCAUUUCGGUGUGUAAACUCCUUUUAUAUGUCAAGAAAAUGACGGUAGCAUAUGAAUAAGCACCGGCUAACUCCGUGCCAGCAGCCGCGGUAAUACGGAGGGUGUGAAGCGUUACUCGGAAUCACUGGGCGUAAAGGACGCGUAGGCGGGUUGGAAAGUCAGGUGUGAAAUCCUACAGCUUAACUGUAGAACUGCACUUGAAACUUCUAAUCUAGAGUAUGGGAGGGGGAGAUGGAAUUAGUGGUGUAGGGGUAAAAUCCGUAGAUAUCACUAGGAAUACCUAAAGCGAAGGCGAUCUCCUGGAACAUUACUGACGCUAAGGCGUGAAAGCGUGGGGAGCAAACAGGAUUAGAUACCCGGGUAGUC
rnacentral:rRNA from 1 species